rnacentral:tRNA from 1 species
ACCUGGCUGGCUCAGCUGGUAGAGCAUGGAACACUUAAACUCAUGGUCAUGAGUUCAAGCCCCAUGCUGGGUG